rnacentral:rRNA from 1 species
GACGAACGCUGGCGGCGUGCUUAACACAUGCAAGUCGAACGGAAAGGCCCUGCUUUUGUGGGGUGCUCGAGUGGCGAACGGGUGAGUAACACGUGAGUAACCUUCCCUUGACUUUGUGAUAACUUCAGGAAACUGGGGCUAAUACCGGAUAGUAGCUCCUGCUGCAUGGUGGGGGUUGGAAAGUUUCGGCGGUUGGGGAUGGACUCGCGGCUUCUUAGCUUGUUGGUGGGGUAGUGGCUUACCAAGGCUUCGACGGGUAGCCGGCCUGAGAGGGUGACCGGCCACAUUGGGACUGAGAUACGGCCCAGACUCCUACGGGAGGCAGCAGUGGGAAAUAUUGCACAAUGGGCGGAAGCCUGAUGCAGCAACGCCGCGUGCGGGAUGACGGCCUUCGGGUUGUAACCCGCUUUCGCCUGUGACGAAGCGUGAGUGACGGUAAUGGGUAAAGAAGCACCGGCUAACUACGUG